UCCAGCAGGAUACACAGCCAACUAUAGUUUGCAUGCCCUGCUGAAGGGCCCUACCGGGCGGAAUUGGUGGUUAGAGUUUGUUGGUCCCCAAUGGCGACACGGUGCCCAGUUGGGUGCCAGACUGAUCCCCUGGUCAUGAACGGAUGCUGGCACCUACCAGAAGGAGCGAAAGCUUGUCAGGGCAAGACCUCAGAACAAAAGUGUGUCAUGCGACACAAGUACCCUUGUGACACCUUUUCCGUAAGUUCUCCCUGGCUGGACUCCUAUGAAAAGGC